GCUUUGUUUAGUACCACUUUUCCUUUGAUAGGCAGCCGGAAGUUUUCGCUGCUGUCAUCUAAAUGAGUAAGCAUAAGUCAACACAUAAGGUUGUCAUUUCAAUGGGCUAAAAAAUCAACUGAAUAUCACCACUAACAUGUGGAAUAGUAAUGUUCUGUGAUAAAAGAUGAACUUCCAGAUCUCAUCAUUUCUGCAGUCAAUCGCUGGAUGCCAAGAUGGACAGCCAGACAACAGGAAUCAUAAACAAAUGACCAGAUCACCACAUUGGAUUGCCCAUUCGUAAAUGAAAUGCAGUCCCGGCAUCUUCUGCAAUAGUAAUUGCACCUUAAAGAAAAUAUGUGUAGGCUAUAUUUAUAUGAGAAUAGUUAAUACGAGGUUUAACAUCUUGCAAUAAACUUAAUUUCGCUGACUGUA